CCUACGGGAGGCAGCAGUGAGGAAUAUUGGUCAAUGGGCGCGAGCCUGAACCAGCCAAGUCGCGUGAAGGAUGACUGCUCUACGGGUUGUAAACUUCUUUUAUAAAGGAAUAAAGUGAGCCACGUGUGCCUUUUUGCAUGUACUUUAUGAAUAAGGAUCGGCUAACUUCGUGCCAGCAGCCGCGGUAAUACGGAGGAUCCGAGCGUUAUCCGGAGUUAUUGGGUUUAAAGGGUGCGUAGGUGGGUUGUUAAGUCAGUUGUGAAAGUUUGUGGCUCAACCAUAAAAUUGCAGUUGAUACUGGCAGCCUUGAUUACAGUUGAGGAAGGCGGAAUGCGUGGUGUAGCGGUGAAAUGCUUAGAUAUCACGAAGAACUCCGAUUGCGAAGGCAGCCUACUAAGCCGCCACUGACAUUGAUGCUCGAAAGUGUGGGUAUCAAACAGGAUUAGAUACCCGUGUAGUC
rnacentral:rRNA from 1 species